UAUGUUUGUGUAUUUAUUUCUAGAUGUUUACAAUAUCAGGAUUUUAACCCACAUGGAUCUAUGCAGGAUUGCACCUAAGGAUUAAUGUAUUUGUUUCUACA